rnacentral:rRNA from 1 species
GUCUACAGCCAUACCAGCCCGAACACGCCCGAUCUCGGCUGAUCUCGGAAGCCAAGCAGGGCCGGGCCUGGUUAGUACUUAGUACUUGGAUGGGAAAGCGCUAAUGCGUUCGCCA